rnacentral:tRNA from 1 species
GCAGUCGGGGCCGAGUGGUUAAGGCGAUGGACGAGAAAUCCAUUGGGGUCUCCCCGCACAGGUUCGAAUCCUGUUGGUUGUG